GUGCCGGUUUGAUUUUCCUUUCGUAGGUCUGUCCGCGUCCGUGAACCUCUGCAGGCGCAUUUCUUGUGCAACCAAGUUCUGGAGGCCAGAAGUCCAAGAUCAAGGUGUCGGCAGGUGCCUACUGUGUGCAGCGCUGCGCCCACGGGAGAGGCAGCCAAGGCCUAGAGGCAGAGCCCAGGCCCUGGGCGUGCUGACUCGGGACUUCUCCUCCUCCGGCCCUUCCUCCCAACUCCUGGCUGCGGAGUCUGACCCCCACUUGGACAAACAUCUUGCGGCCAUUUCCGCCUCGCCUGCCCGGAGCCCCAGCCUGGCCUGAACAAACACUCGGGACCUGUGCUUCCGGCCUCAGCUCUGGGAAAAGCCCAGCCAGGGGCCAUUGAGGUCAACCCUGGAGGGAAGUGGGAAGGAGGCACCAGGGGCCUAAUCACACCCAUCUCAGAGGACCCUAGGGAGGCAAGAAGCACCCUCUGGGCCUGGCACCAAGAGGGGGACACUGCCCACAGGGCUGUGAGAGGCCUGGGGAGGGUGCUCCAAGGGACUCCCCCAAGGGACCACAGUGCUAGAAGAACCUCCCUCCUGUGGCUUCCCCA